CAUGACAUAAAGUCACAAAAAUAUGCUGAUGACAUAUUUUGAUAAAGUUUAGUUUAAUACAUUUUCUUCUUUGCCAAACAGAAACUUUGGGGCCCUCUUGGGUUCCCACUCUGAUCCACACACCAAACAGCAGUUUUCAGUGGAGAGUCCACAGUGUCAGAGUUUGAAGAGGAGGCAUUAGAUCAUCUCCACAGUGAGCAUGCAAAUCUUUGGUUCCUAAAGAACUCAAAGGGUUGUGCACUAUGAAUUUAUCCCUCAGGGUCAGACUGUCAGCACAUUCCACUGUAACGUCCUGCAGCGUCUGAGGGAAACAUGCAGCACAAACCACCUGAACUUUGGAGCGUGCCGUCCGUACAAGAUUUACAAUGUGGGUGAGUUUCAGAAGGAUAUAGUGGAGAGAUUAUGAGGCCAUUUCCAAACAGUUUUAAUUCCCUUUGUCUGCAGUGAGAUUAUUAUUCACAAGUGGAAACCAUUUAAGCCGCCAAUCAUCCCAGGUGAGGUAGUCCCAGCAAAUUCAUCCCAAGGUCUGAUCAUGUGAUGUUCAGAGAAACUGCAACAAAGCCAAGAGCUACAGCUCAGACUCUGCAGGCCUCAGUUAGCAGGUUAACACAGAAUGUACAAAACACAAGCUGCUGGAAGCUUUUUCCACACUGCUGACCUCCACUAGAGGGCGACAUCAUCCAGUAGGCGGUGCUCUCCUUCUGCACUGUGUUCAACCAUUGUGUCAAUAAUAAGUGCUGCUGUGAAGAGAACAAUUCUCAGACUGAAUGUUGAACAUCAGCUAGUUUCUCCUGUUGAUUGAAACCUUGUUGUACAGAUGGAACACUGGCUGUGGAUUAUUCUUGCUGCUCUUUUCUUUGAGUGUAAAGGAGAAGACAAAGUGAUCCAGGAACAAGGAGAUGUCAUUGCGGCUGAAGGAGACACAGUUACACUUGGAUGUACUUUUACAAGUCAAACAACGCCCACCUUGUUCUGGUACAAACAAGAAGUAAACGCUUACCCAAAAUAUAUCUUGCGGAAAUUUCUCUCUGGAGCAACAGAUAAAGCCCCCGAGUUCCAGGAGGACAGAUUUGAUGCUAAAAUCAACGAGACAUCAGCUCCUCUGAAGAUCCAGAAGCUUCAGCUGUCUGACUCUGCUGUGUACUACUGUGCUCUGCAGCCCACAGUGACAGGAAACACCAAAACUCUGUACAAAAACCUUUGGAGCAAAGACAACAGAAUACUCCACAACAUCCACUAGAGGGAGCCACACAC